rnacentral:lncRNA from 1 species
CAAAAUUUUAGUCUUGAUGUUAUGAAUAAUUCGGUUGAAAUAAGGAGAAUGGGAGUUGUCAUUUAGGUUAAGAACAAAGGAAUGAUCAAUAGGCAUUAAAAGGUUAAAUGUGUGAAAUUUAAGGUAUAAGAACCUAUAGGUAAUUACAUAGGUAAUGUUAAAAAUUAAUGUGGUAUAUUCGGCCAUGUAGAGUAUAUCCUAGAGAUAUUAUAUUUAAUUUCCUAUAAUCGGCUAAAUGGGUGAUAAUGGUUUAUAAUGUUGAAUUGAAUUAUGAUUAUGCACAUUAGAAUUA